rnacentral:rRNA from 1 species
GAUGAACGCUGGCGGCGUGCCUAAUACAUGCAAGUCGAGCGAACAGACGAGGAGCUUGCUCCUCUGACGUUAGCGGCGGACGGGUGAGUAACACGUGGAUAACCUACCUAUAAGACUGGGAUAACUUCGGGAAACCGGAUCUAAUACCGGAUAAUAUAUUGAACCGCAUGGUUCAAUAGUGAAAGACGGUUUUGCUGUCACUUAUAGAUGGAUCCGCGCCGCAUUAGCUAGUUGGUAAGGUAACGGCUUACCAAGGCAACGAUGCGUAGCCGACCUGAGAGGGUGAUUGGCCACACUGGAACUGAGACACGGUCCAGACUCCUACGGGAGGCAGCAGUAGGGAAUCUUACGCAAUGGGCGAAAGCCUGACGGAGCAACGCCGCGUGAGUGAUGAAGGUCUUCGGAUCGUAAAACUCUGUUAUUAGGGAAGAACAAAUGUGUAAGUAACUAUGCACGUCUUGACGGUACCUAAUCAGAAAGCCACGGCUAACUACGUG